UACAGAGGGUGCGAGCGUUAAUCGGAAUUACUGGGCGUAAAGCGCGCGUAGGCGGCUUUGCAAGUCGGGUGUGAAAUCCCCAGGCUUAACCUGGGAACUGCAUUCGAGACUGCAUUGCUAGAGUAUGGGAGAGGGAAGUGGAAUUUCCGGUGUAGCGGUGAAAUGCGCAGAUAUCAGGAGGAACACCGAUGGCGAAGGCAGGUCUCUGGGCCACUACUGACGCUGAGGAGCGAAAGCGUGGGGAGCGAACAGG
rnacentral:rRNA from 1 species